rnacentral:misc_RNA from 1 species
UGGUGGCCAGACUGAGUUGACCCUUUCUAAAUGCCGGUGCAUGCAAUACUAUGGAAUGGAGUUGGUCUGAGUGUUGAAGUGGGAUGUUUUAAAUGGAGAUUAAUUUGGCAUACCAGUGUCUCCAUGGAACGUCUUUCCAGUUUUGAUAAAUGAUGUGAAAAUGCCCCUUCCUGGGAACAACACAAGGGUGUAAAAUGCUGCUUGUUAAAAUAUGUUAGAUGUGUUUUUGAUUUUGCCCUUAAAAGUAUAACGUCAUGGUUUUGUUCAGUGCUCAAUGAUUGAUUCAAUGUAUGGCUGCAGCAAAUUGCAUACAGAAAAAAAAAAAAAAAA